AGAUUGAACGCUGGCGGCAUGCCUUACACAUGCAAGUCGAACGGCAGCACGGGGGCAACCCUGGUGGCGAGUGGCGAACGGGUGAGUAACAUAUCGGAACGUGCCCUGGAGUGGGGGAUAACGUAGUCGAAAGACUAGCUAAUACCGCAUACGAUCUACGGAUGAAAGUGGGGGAUCGCAAGACCUCAUGCUCGUGGAGCGGCCGAUAUCUGAUUAGCUAGUUGGUGGGUAAAGGCCUACCAAGGUCAUCGAUCAGUAGCUGGUCUGAGAGGACGACCAGCCACACUGGGACUGAGACACGGCCCAGACUCCUACGGGAGGCAGCAGUCGGGGAAUUUUGGACAAGUGGGGGCAACCCGUGACGUCCAGCAAUGCCGCGUCGAGUGAAGAAGCCGUUCGGUGUAAGCUCUUUGUC
rnacentral:rRNA from 1 species